rnacentral:rRNA from 1 species
UACGUAGGUGGCAAGCGUUGUCCGGAUUUACUGGGCGUAAAGAGCGCGCAGGCGGUCGUUCAAGUCGAGUGUGAAAGCCCCCGGCUCAACUGGGGAGGGUCACUCGAUACUGAUCGACUCGAAGGCAGAAGAGGGAAGCGGAAUUCCCCGGUGUAGUGGUGAAAUGCGUAGAUAUCGGGGAGGAACACCAGUGGCGAAGGCGGCUUUCUGGUCUGCUCUUGACGCUGAGGCGCGAAAGCUAGGGUAGCAAACGGG